GAUGAACGCUGGCGGCGUGCCUAAUACAUGCAAGUCGAGCGAACAGAUGAGGAGCUUGCUCCUCUGACGUUAGCGGCGGACGGGUGAGUAACACGUGGGUAACCUACCUAUAAGACUGGGAUAACUUCGGGAAACCGGAGCUAAUACCGGAUAAUAUAUUGAACCGCAUGGUUCAAUAGUGAAAGACGGUUUUGCUGUCACUUAUAGAUGGAUCCGCGCCGCAUUAGCUAGUUGGUAAGGUAACGGCUUACCAAGGCGACGAUGCGUAGCCGACCUGAGAGGGUGAUCGGCCACACUGGAACUGAGACACGGUCCAGACUCCUACGGGAGGCAGCAGUAGGGAAUCUUCCGCAAAGGGCGAAAGCCUGACGGAGCAACGCCGCGUGAGUGAUGAAGGUCUUCGGAUCGUAAAACUCUGUUAUUAGGGAAGAACAAAUGUGUAAGUAACUAUGCACGUCUUGACGGUACCUAAUCAGAAAGCCACGGCUAACUACGUG
rnacentral:rRNA from 1 species